UACAGAGGUCUCAAGCGUUGUUCGGAUUUAUUGGGCGUAAAGAGCUCGUAGGCGGCCUGUCGCGUCGACCGUGAAAACCCGCAGCUCAACUGCGGGCUUGCGGUCGAUACGGGCAGGCUCGAGUUCGGUAGGGGAGACUGGAAUUCCUGGUGUAGCGGUGAAAUGCGCAGAUAUCAGGAGGAACACCGGUGGCGAAGGCGGGUCUCUGGGCCGAUACUGACGCUGAGGAGCGAAAGCGUGGGGAGCGAACAGG
rnacentral:rRNA from 1 species